GACGAACGCUGGCGGCGUGCUUAACACAUGCAAGUCGAACGGAAAGGCCCUGCUUUUGUGGGGUGCUCGAGUGGCGAACGGGUGAGUAACACGUGAGUAACCUGCCCUUGACUUUGGGAUAACUUCAGGAAACUGGGGCUAAUACCGGAUAGGAGCUCCUGCUGCAUGGUGGGGGUUGGAAAGUUUCGGCGGGUGGGGAUGGACUCGCGGCGUAUCAGCUUGUUGGUGGGGUAGUGGCUUACCAAGGCUUUGACGGGUAGCCGGCCUGAGAGGGUGACCGGCCACAUUGGGACUGAGAUACGGCCCAGACUCCUACGGGAGGCAGCAGUGGGGAAUAUUGCACAAUGGGCGGAAGCCUGAUGCAGCAACGCCGCGUGCGGGAUGACGGCCUUCGGGUUGUAAACCGCUUUCGCCUGUGACGAAGCGUGAGUGACGGUAAUGGGUAAAGAAGCACCGGCUAACUACGUG
rnacentral:rRNA from 1 species